GAUGAAUCAAGGAAAACUAUACGACCUACCGCAUCUGCCAAAAUCAAGAAUGAAGUAGGAGAGCACAUACAAAACAAUAAAAGAGUAGGUCAUUUUGUACUUUACCAUUACCACCCUUUUUGACUUCUUUGGAAACGGAGUUUCAAAACCUAGCUCCUUGGUGAACCGCUGCAGUACUCUAGGAAUAUCUCUUCCAAACCUCUCUAGCUCUGAGGAAGUUUACAUCUUAAGGCGAAACGUUGGAGAGUAGAUUGUAAAAUUUAAUUAAAAGAACCUUCGCCCCAAAUUUGGUUGUUCUUUUUAAAUAUUGAUACCCUUGAGGAAUUACUAACCAACAUAGCUGGUACGUAUCCUUGGUAUGCAUAUAUUUGAUCAGUAUUCUAAAUUUCACAAUGUACCAUUCAAGAAAAUUGGAAGUGUGACCCAUAAAAUAAACAAUUACCGUAAUGUUUAUUUAUUCCUCCUUCAAAUAUUUUCCCAUUUAAUAAAUAAUAAAUCGCUAAGUAAGUAGCUACUAAUUAAUUAUUUUCUUGCAGGGAAAAAUACAACAUAGGAAUAAGGUAUGUAUGUAUGUAUACCUAUAUGUAUUAUAAAUCAUUUGAAAGUAUCAUACGUGCACUUUUUCCUGAACGCCUAAUUAAUUUAAUCGCUAGUUAAUUGCAAAAUGUGUUGCACUGUACAUUUCACUCACACGUUUUUCAUUCAUUUGCCAGUUAGACGUAUUAUCGCACAGAUUUUAAUUAUUUAUGUGCAAUGUUUGAUUUUUAUUAUAAAAGGUCAGGGUCGUGAUUAAGGCAUAAUAAAACAUCGAGUUGUACAAAGGCUCUUGCAUGUUCUAACCUGACAUGCUAAUAGUAAGCAAUAUACUGUUGCUAGUGACUAAUCAAACAUUGUUAUGCAUGUAUCAUUUAAAUAAAACAUCAGCUAGUAUAGACUUGCGCCUAACAAUGAGAUUUAUGCAGGUAGGUGUUGUAUUGAAGAAUCUUUGAAAGAAUAAAAUAAGAAUAGGUUGGAAUGUGCAAUCAACGUCUAAUCAUAAACGAAAGUAAACAGUAUGCACAGUUGAUACCCGUUCCGGUAAUAUGAAACUAUUAAAAAACAAUUUUUGGAUGGUAAAACUACCCAACGAUAAAUGUAAAAACAAUUGGUAACCGUGUGUAUAUUAUAUCAAUUUGGUGAGAUUUUAGGGGUUGAUUAUAGCAUCUCGGGUACGCAAUAUCCCAGUAUUUUUUUUCCAGCUUGAAAUUUGCCGUAAAUUGUGUAAUGAUCAAUUUUAAUCAAACAUAAUGUAAAUAAGU